UACGUAGGGGGCAAGCGUUGUCCGGAAUCAUUGGGCGUAAAGAGCGCGUAGGCGGCCCAGUAAGUCCGCUCUGAAAGUCAGGGGCUCAACCCCUGAAUGCGGGUGGAUACUGCUGGGCUAGAGUCCGGAAGAGGCGAGUGGAAUUCCUGGUGUAGCGGUGGAAUGCGCAGAUAUCAGGAGGAACACCAAUAGCGAAGGCAGCUCGCUGGGACGGUAUUGACGCUAAGGCGCGAAAGCGUGGGGAGCAAACAGG
rnacentral:rRNA from 1 species